CCCGCUGAACUUAAGCAUAUCAAUAAGCGGAGGAAAAGAAACUAACAAGGAUUCCCCUAGUAACUGCAAGUGAAGCGGGAAAAGCUCAAAUUUAAAAUCUGUCAGUCUUUGGCUGUCCGAGUUGUAAUCUAGAGAAGUGUUAUCUGCGCUGGACCGUGUACAAGUCUCCUGGAAUGGAGCGUCAUAGAGGGUGAGAAUCCCGUCUCUGAUACGGACUGCCAGGGCUUUGUGAUGCGCUCUCAAAGAGUCGAGUUGUUUGGGAAUGCAGCUCAAAAUGGGUGGUAAAUUCCAUCUAAAGCUAAAUAUAGGCGAGAGACCGAUAGCGAACAAGUACCGUGAGGGAAAGAUGAAAAGCACUUUGGAAAGAGAGUUAAACAGUACGUGAAAUUGCUGAAAGGGAAACGCUUGAAGUCAGUCACGUCUGCCAGGACUCAGCCUCGCUUCUGCUUGGUGUACUUUCUGGUUUGAUGGGCCAACAUCAAUUUUGACCGUUGGAGAAAGGCUUUGGGAAUGUGGCACCUUUGGGUGUGUUAUAGCCCUUUGCUGUAUACAACGGUUGGGAUUGAGGACCGCAGCACGCCUUUACGGCCGGGGUUCGCCCACGUACGUGCUUAGGAUGUUGGCAUAAUGGCUUUAAGCGACCCGUCUUGAAACACGG
rnacentral:rRNA from 1 species